GCCUGUGUGGCUCAGUUGGUUAAGCGUCUGACUUCAGCUCAGGUCGUGAUCUCAUGAUUUGUGGGUUUGAGCCCCACGUCAGGCU
rnacentral:tRNA from 1 species